rnacentral:rRNA from 1 species
GAUGAACGCUGGAGGCGUGCUUAACACGUGCAAGUCGAACGAUGAAAUGGAGCUUGCUCCAUGGAUUAGUGGCGAACGGGUGAGUAACACGUGAAUAACCUGCCCUUAAUUUUGGAAUAACCCAGGGAAACCUGGGCUAAUACCGGAUAAGUAAACCUGUGGCAUCACAUGGUUUUGGAAAGUUUUUCGAUUAAGGAUGGAUUCGCGGCCUAUCAGCUUGUUGGUGAGGUAAUGGCUCACCAAGGCGACGACGGGUAGCCGGCCUGAGAGGGUGAACGGCCACACUGGGACUGAGACACGGCCCAGACUCCUACGGGAGGCAGCAGUGGGGAAUAUUGCGCAAUGGACGAAAGUCUGACGCAGCGACGCCUCGUGAGGGACGAAGGUCUUCGGAUUGUAAACCUCUUUCAGCAGGGACGAAGCGAAAGUGACGGUACCUGCAGAAGAAGCACCGGCUAACUAUGUGCCAGCCGCCGCCGUAA